GCCCCUCCUAGGCCCAGGCCCCGCCCCUGCCCCGCCCUUCCAGUCGCAGUGGCCUGGCCGCGGCGGCUCCGGAGGUUUCAGCCCAGGUGAAAACGAACUUGGACCUGGCCUGGGGCUCCGAGGAGGGUCCAUGCGGGCUGGGCGCCGCCGGACAGCCCCGGCUCGACCCUCCCUACCCCGCUCCCAUCUGCAGCCCCGGGCGGCCAACAGGCAAAGCCAGGACUUGUCCCGGACGUUGCUGGAGAGAUGCGGGCGAGCGUCCGCCAACAUUUUACGGAUGAAGAGGACUCAGGCCGCGGUCCCCCCGGAAACAGCUGGGCACUGCUGGAGCCGGGACUGAUCGCUGGGACCUGUCUAGGCUCUCCGGAGCGCUGUGGGUCUGGGCUCCUAAGACUAUGCGGGACAUUGGACCCUGCAUCCUGGGACCCUCCCCAUGCACGCCACAGAGCCAGGCAUACCAAUCCGGCUGCCACCAGGGAUCAAACUGGGGCUCCGUGGGAGGGUUUGGAGGAGACUGGCCUCAAGAUCAAGGAUGGCGAUGGUGCUGUCUGCCCUGCCUGAACAUUCAUGCAGGUCCUGGCCAGCAUCCGCAGCACAGACCCAGCUCACUCCUUUUCAUAGAAGAGACAGAGGUUCACUGCCUGGUCUCUGUGCAAGUGAGAGGCAGGCACAUCCCUGCCUGUCCCCCGUCCUAUGCUCCUCACACACUCUCAGGUCUUCCCCAUCUUCUCACUGGCAAUCACACCGAAAGGUCAGAAGAAGCUUGGCAACUAAGGUGCAUCCGUAGUUUCAGCACACCAGGAAGCUUCUGCACAGGCUAGCAAGAAGCUGAGCAGAGACAGACAGGCACUGUAUGGUUGUCACUUACAUGUGGGAAGCAAGAGUGGAAACACAGUGAAGGACAGGGAAGCCUGGUGUGCUGCAGCCCGUGGGGUCGCAAAGAGUCGGGCACGACUGGGCAACUGAACCACAGCAGUGGUAAAGAGAUGAGGUUCACCAGAGGAAGCGGAGGGGUGGGAGCGCAGGAGGGCGAUCACAAGGCACAGACUUCUAGGUAAGGGUAAAUCACUAGGGAUGCUCUGCUGCCAUUGUUCAGUCACUAAGUCAUGUCUGAUUCUCUGUGACCCCAUGACCUGCAGCACCCCAGGCUUCCCUGUCCUUCACUGUCUCCCGGAGUCUGCUCAAUCUCAUGUCCAUUGAGUCGGUGACGUAACAUACAGCAUGAUAAACAUAACUAACUCUGCUGUGUGUUACCUGUGGAAGUCAUUAAGGGCCUAGAACCUAAGAGCUCUCAUCACAGAAAACAUUUUUUUCCCCUGUUGCUCUUGCUUUUAUUGAAUCCACACGAGAUGCGCACUAAGCUUGCCGCUUUACAACACGUGUAAGUCAGACCAUUCUGUUGUGCAUCUUACGCAAUGGCAUGUGGCAGUUAUGCCUCAGUGAAACUGGAGAAAAAUAAAGAAGCUGGAGAGCAGUCAGGAUGCCGUCUUACAGCCUGAAUCAUUCAUGUCGCUUCUCCGAACACUG
ensembl:lncRNA